GAUUUCAACUGAAAAAGUCAUCAACAACAAAGUUGUAUAACUCAUCAAUAUCUAUAACUUUUAUUUUGGUCAUUUCUUCAUUCGAUAAAGUGAUAGUAAUAUUGUUCACAAAAUUUACACAUCUCUCUUAUAAUUUAUGAAACCAUAUGAGAGAGAUGUAAAAUUUGUGAACAAUGUUACUAUCACUUUAUCGGAUAAAGAAAUGACUAAAAUAAAAACUGUAAAUCUAGAUGGAUUAUACAACUUUGUUGUUGAUGACUUUUUCAGUUGAAGUU
rnacentral:pre_miRNA from 1 species